rfam:Oryza sativa Japonica Group DNA, chromosome 4, cultivar: Nipponbare, complete sequence.
AAUAAGUGCAACCAUGAGUUUCUGUGUCCAAUUUUGAUCGUCUGUCUUAUUUUAAUUUUUUUAUAAUUAGUAUUUUUAUUGUUAUAAGAUUAUAAAACAUGAAUAGUACUUUAUGUGUGACUUACGUUCUUUUUUUUCAAAAAAAAAUUUUAAUAAGACGGACUAUCAAAGUUGGACAUGGAAUCUCAUGGUUGCACUUAUU